GAUGAAGAACGCAGCGAAAUGCGAUACGUAAUGUGAAUUGCAGAAUUCAGUGAAUCAUCGAAUCUUUGAACGCAUAUUGCGCUCUCUGGUAUUCCGGAGAGCAUGCUUGUUUGAGUAUCAGUAAACACCUCAACUUCCAUAUCUUUUUUGAAAUGGGAGUUGGACUUGAGUGAUCCCAACGCUUUUCCUCACCGAAAAGUGGCGGGUUACUUGAAAUGCAGGUGCAGCUGGACUUUUCUCUGAGCUAUAAGCAUAUCUAUUUAGUCUGCCUAAAAAACAGAUUAGUACCUUUGCUGCAGCUAACAUAAAGGAGAUUAGUUCUUGUGCUGACUGAUGCAGGAUUCACAAAGACAGCUUCGGCCGACUUUGUAAACUCGAUCUCAAAUCAAGUAAGACUACCCGCUGAACUUAAGCAUAUCAAUAAGCGGAGGA
rnacentral:misc_RNA from 1 species